AUUGAACGCUGGCGGCAGGCUUAACACAUGCAAGUCGAGCGAGCGGCGGACGGGUGAGUAAUGUCUGGGAAACUGCCUGAUGGAGGGGGAUAACUACUGGAAACGGUAGCUAAUACCGCAUACCAUCAGAUGUGCCACGAUGGGCUUAGCUAGUAGGUGGGGUAAUGGAUCACCUAGGCGACGAUCCCUAGCUGGUCUGAGAGGAUGACCAGCCACACGGGAACUGAGACACGGUCCAGACUCCUACGGGAGGCAGCAUGGGGGAAUAUUGCACAAUGGGCGCAAGCCUGAUGCAGCCAUGCCGCGUGUAUGAAGAAGGCCUUCGGGUUGUAAAGUCCUUUCAGCGAGGAGGCGUUACUCGCAGAAGAAGCACCGGCUAACUCCGUGCCAGCAGCCGCGGUAAUUC
rnacentral:rRNA from 1 species